rnacentral:lncRNA from 1 species
UGACUUCUAGCUCUGGGCAUGUGAAGAUAAGGCGUUGUCUGUCUCUCUCUGCUGGACGUUCUAUCUAAGCAGCGUGGAUGUUGACAAGGCUCCUGGAAGGACAAGAGAAGGAAGAAGAGCUGCCAGGUCCUGGGAGAACAAGAACAGUGCUUUCUCCAAAUUUUAACAGGAGUACACGGUGGGAGUGAGAGCUAGUUUUCCUGUAGUAGAAGCUGAAGACAGAGUAAAAAUAAUUAACUCAUGGGAAAAAUAAAUAAACAAACAAUUGGACUCAGCCAGAGGAAAAAGAUAGUUAAAACCAAAACAUGUAACGCAACCUAGAACAGUCUGUGUAAUCUAGCCUCUGCUGUCAACUUAAUCUACCAUCACGUGCCCCAUUAUUCACGGGGCUCCACCUUGUA